UGUAAGCCCCAUCGGGAAAAAAAUAGAUAAAUAAAUACAUACACAAGAAAGAAAUAGUAAGCUAAAAUCUUUCCAGAAACUUGUAAGCUCAUAAUUCUACGAAAUCUAGCAACAAACAUGAAUUAUGGAAAACUUCGAGGCUGCUUGCAGGGAAUCAUGGAAGGUUGUAUUUUCACUCCAUUAGACCAUGGAGACGACCAUCUCUACCAUUCAGAUUUAUCUGUGUCACUAAAAACAAUAAUAAUUACCUCUACGAGGUAUGGACUUCAAAAUGACCAGUUCAUGGUUAUGCGUCCAAAAUUAGAUUCCGCAGCAAAAUUAUGCACAAUAGUGUGGUCUCUGAAGUCUCUUCAAUUAAUCAGUCAAGAAAGACGUGCUUUCUCAAUGGCUCCCAC